CAAGCUACGCUGGUGAUCCAAAGCUGUCCCCAACCCUGCUCUGCCUACUCGGGCCCUCAGAGAAGCCUUGCUCCCCUCUCUCAGACUCUCCCCAGCUUUAAGUGCGAAAGCCCCAGGCCCGAACUCACAGCUGCCCUCGGAAGGCAGUGGGGGCGGAACCAGGCUGCGGCCCCCACUUCCCUUCGAGACUCAGCAUGUACAAACUCAGAUCCCUCCACGUUUCUCGCCUCCCUCCCGGCUUGCCUGACCCGGCGGCGUCCACCUCAGAAGCCGGCGCUCCUCACCCACCAGAGCCUACAUCUGACCCCAUCAGCUUCCAAAUGGACAAGAAGUUUCCUGAAGGGUCACUUGGCCUCAUUUAAGUCCAUCUUUCAGCCACCAGUACCAUUCACCUGAAAUGAAAGUCUGACACAUUCAAGCCAAGCUGUUGCCUCUGUUCUUUGGGCAUGUUGUUCACUCACCUAGAAGGCUCUCACCUCACUGCUUCACUUGGAUAUAAUCCCUAAUUAACCUUCAAGUCUCUGCCCAGGCAUAAUCUCUUGAAGGAGACUCUUCCCUGAGGCUGGCACCAGGCUGUGUUCAGACUCCAACUCUGUCGCUCUCUGUAUGACCUUGGAUUAGUUUCUUAACAUCCCUGUGCUGCAGUUUCCCCAUCUGCAACAAAAAGAUGAUAGUAGCACACAUGUCAUGGGUUGUUGUGAAGUUGGAUUAAUUGUAAAAUGGUUUGAACAGUG